rnacentral:rRNA from 1 species
AGAGUUUGAUCCUGGCUCAGGAUGAACGCUGGCGGCGUGCCUAAUACAUGCAAGUCGAACGAGGUGCUUUUGUAGCAAUACGGAAGUAUCCUAGUGGCGAACGGGUGAGUAACGCGUUGGUGACCUACCCCGAAGUGUGGAAUAACAGAUCGAAAGAUUUGCUAAUACCGCAUGUGGUUGUCGGAUUUAGAAACUGACAUCUAAAGCAGUAAUGCGCUUUGGGAGGGACCUGCGUCCCAUCAGCUAGUUGGUGAGGUAAUGGCUCACCAAGGCGACGACGGGUAGGGGACCUGAGAGGGUGGCCCCCCACAAUGGAACUGAAACACGGUCCAUACACCUACGGGUGGCAGCAGUAGGGAAUAUUGCUCAAUGGGCGAAAGCCUGAAGCAGCAACGCCGCGUGCGCGAAGAAGGCCUUCGGGUCGUAAAGCGCUUUUCUGAGAGAUGAGAAAGGACAGUAUCUCAGGAAUAAGUCUCGGCUAACUACGUGCCAGCAGCCGCGGUAAAACGUAGAGGCGAGCGUUAUCCGGAUUCACUGGGCGUAAAGCGCGUGCAGGCGGUUCGGUAAGUUGGGCGUGAAAUCUCCUGGCUUAACUAGGAGAGGUCGUUCAAUACUACCGGGCUAGAGAGUGGUAGAGGAAGAUGGAAUUCCCGG